GUACCAAUUAAACUGAGAUGAGCAUUUCUAGAAGCAGCAGCCGCAGCAGCUGAAGUGCCUGCUACAGCCUUUCUCCGCUUAGCUCUACCACGAGAUUCUUCAAAAUUGUCGGACGAUUCUUCUCUCUCCUCCUCAUUCACAUUUUGCUCCUCGUUAACCCUAGUUUGAACUCUCGUUCGUUUCUGUACACGAUUAACUCCAUAAUUAGGGCUCAAUUUUUUACUUACUCAAAGAAUAUGCAUAAAUAUUGUAGAAACUGGGGAAAAAAACUCACCGUACUUCGAUUCGCCGUUCCCGACACCACUGGU
rnacentral:lncRNA from 1 species